GAAUCUGGCUUCAGGUUCGGGACAACAGUUGGAAACGGCUGCUAAUACCGGAUGUGCCUAAGGGUGAAAGAUUUAUCACCUGAAGAUGAGCUCGCGUCUGAUUAGCUAGUAGGUGUGGUAAGAGCGCACCUAGGCGACGAUCAGUAGCUGGUCUGAGAGGAUGAUCAGCCACACUGGGACUGAGACACGGCCCAGACUCCUACGGGAGGCAGCAGUGGGGAAUUUUCCGCAAUGGGCGAAAGCCUGACGGAGCAAUACCGCGUGAGGGAGGAAGGCUCUUGGGUUGUAAACCUCUUUUCUCAGGGAAGAAUGAUGACGGUACCUGAGGAAUAAGCAUCGGCUAACUCCGUGCCAGCAGCCGCGGUAAUACGGAGGAUGCAAGCGUUAUCCGGAAUGAUUGGGCGUAAAGCGUCCGCAGGUGGCAAUGUAAGUCUGCUGUCAAAGCGUCUGGCUCAACCAGAUAAAGGCAGUGGAAACUACAUAGCUAGAGUAAGGUAGGGGUAGAGGGAAUUCCUGGUGUAGCGGUGAAAUGCGUAGAGAUCAGGAAGAACACCGGUGGCGAAAGCGCUCUGCUGGACCUUAACUGACACUGAGGGACGAAAGCUAGGGGAGCG
rnacentral:rRNA from 4 species